AGUCGAACGCUUUGUGGUUCAACUGAUUUGAAGAGCUUGCUCAGAUAUGACGAUGGACAUUGCAAAGAGUGGCGAACGGGUGAGUAACACGUGGGAAACCUACCUCUUAGCAGGGGAUAACAUUUGGAAACAGAUGCUAAUACCGUAUAACAAUGACAACCGCAUGGUUGUUAUUUAAAAGAUGGUUCUGCUAUCACUAAGAGAUGGUCCCGCGGUGCAUUAGCUAGUUGGUAAGGUAAUGGCUUACCAAGGCGAUGAUGCAUAGCCGAGUUGAGAGACUGAUCGGCCACAAUGGGACUGAGACACGGCCCAUACUCCUACGGGAGGCAGCAGUAGGGAAUCUUCCACAAUGGGCGAAAGCCUGAUGGAGCAACGCCGCGUGUGUGAUGAAGGGUUUCGGCUCGUAAAACACUGUUGUAAGAGAAGAAUGACAUUGAGAGUAACUGUUCAAUGUGUGACGGUAUCUUACCAGAAAGGAACGGCUAAAUACGUGCCAGCAGCCGCGGUAAUACGUAUGUUCCAAGCGUUAUCCGGAUUUAUUGGGCGUAAAGCGAGCGCAGACGGUUAUUUAAGUCUGAAGUGAAAGCCCUCAGCUCAACUGAGGAAUUGCUUUGGAAACUGGAUGACUUGAGUGCAGUAGAGGAAAGUGGAACUCCAUGUGUAGCGGUGAAAUGCGUAGAUAUAUGGAAGAACACCAGUGGCGAAGGCGGCUUUCUGGACUGUAACUGACGUUGAGGCUCGAAAGUGUGGGUAGCAAACAGGAUUAGAUACCCUGGUAGUCCACACCGUAAACGAUGAGUGCUAGGUGUUUGAGGGUUUCCGCCCUUAAGUGCCGCAGCUAACGCAUUAAGCACUCCGCCUGGGGAGUACGACCGCAAGGUUGAAACUCAAAGGAAUUGACGGGGACCCGCACAAGCGGUGGAGCAUGUGGUUUAAUUCGAAGCAACGCGAAGAACCUUACCAGGUCUUGACAUCCCUUGACAACUCCAGAGAUGGAGCGUUCCCUUCGGGGACAAGGUGACAGGUGGUGCAUGGUUGUCGUCAGCUCGUGUCGUGAGAUGUUGGGUUAAGUCCCGCAACGAGCGCAACCCUUAUUACUAGUUGCCAGCAUUCAGUUGGGCACUCUAGUGAGACUGCCGGUGACAAACCGGAGGAAGGUGGGGAUGACGUCAAAUCAUCAUGCCCCUUAUGACCUGGGCUACACACGUGCUACAAUGGCGUAUACAACGAGUUGCCAACCCGCGAGGGUGAGCUAAUCUCUUAAAGUACGUCUCAGUUCGGAUUGUAGGCUGCAACUCGCCUACAUGAAGUCGGAAUCGCUAGUAAUCGCGGAUCAGCACGCCGCGGUGAAUACGUUCCCGGGUCUUGUACACACCGCCCGUCACACCAUGAGAGUUUGUAACACCCAAAGCCGGUGGGGUAACCUUCGGGAGCCAGCCGUCUAAGGUGGGACAGAUGAUUAGGG
rnacentral:rRNA from 1 species